rnacentral:lncRNA from 1 species
AGCAAGUUUGGUGAUGCUUCCUUGCUCUUGUGAUCUGUCGUGUAUCUUGUGAUAUUUAUUGCUUUAUAAAUGUUGGUGGUCACAUGAGAAUCUGAGCUAUCCAUUUCUAUGCUGUUUCUAGGUCUCAUGGUCAGAGGGAUAUGUUUAAGGCCCUCCACAGUGAGCGUGAAGACAAGGAUAUCAGAAGACAAAUAGACCUCCAGGCUUCUUCUACCCAGCUGACUGAAAGUGGAAAGGAGAUGGCAGCCUGCACCAGGCUGAGGUCCUGGACCCUCUCUGCUGAAUUUCUGAGAACCAUCACAGGUGUCCCAUCUCUACUGAACACACAGAAAUCCUAGGAAAUUGUUUUCACCCAGAAGAAAACAGUAAUAAACCCCCCAACACAGUAUCA